CGCACAUUGCGCCCUCUGGUAUUCCGGAGGGCAUGCCUGUUCGAGCGUCAUUAUCACCCCUCAAGCCCGGCUUGUUGUUGGACGUCGGCGGCGGCACACCCGCUCCCGCCCGUCUCAAAGGUAAUGACGGCGUCUGUGAGGACUCCUGUACACUGAGCUUUCGGGCACGUACUAGGCUAGAACUCCAGACCCGGUCGCCGUCCCCGCCCGCGGGGACAAAAACUUUUUUCACAAGGUUGACCUCGGAUCAGGUAGGAAUACCCGCUGAACUUAA
rnacentral:misc_RNA from 1 species